AUGAACGCUAGCUACAGGCUUAACACAUGCAAGUCGAGGGGCAGCGGGAUUGAAGCUUGCUUCAAUUGCCGGCGACCGGCGCACGGGUGAGUAACGCGUAUCCAACCUUCCGCUUACUCGGGGAUAGCCUUUCGAAAGAAAGAUUAAUACCCGAUGGUAUCUUAAGCACGCAUGAGAUUAAGAUUAAAGAUUUAUCGGUAAGCGAUGGGGAUGCGUUCCAUUAGGCAGUUGGCGGGGUAACGGCCCACCAAACCUACGAUGGAUAGGGGUUCUGAGAGGAAGGUCCCCCACAUUGGAACUGAGACACGGUCCAAACUCCUACGGGAGGCAGCAGUGAGGAAUAUUGGUCAAUGGGCGAGAGCCUGAACCAGCCAAGUAGCGUGAAGGAUGACGGCCCUACGGGUUGUAAACUUCUUUUGUGCGGGAAUAAAGGAACCUACGUGUAGGUUUUUGCAUGUACCGUAACGAAUAAGCAUCGGCUAACUCCGUGCCAGCAGCCGCGGUAAUACGGAGGAUGCGAGCGUUAUCCGGAUUUAUUGGGUUUAAAGGGAGCGUAGACGGGUUUUUAAGUCAGCUGUGAAAGUUUGGGGCUCAACCUUAAAAUUGCAGUUGAAACUGGAGACCUUGAGUACGGUUGAGGCAGGCGGAAUUCGUGGUGUAGCGGUGAAAUGCUUAGAUAUCACGAAGAACCCCGAUUGCGAAGGCAGCCUGCUAAGCCGCCACUGACGUUGAGGCUCGAAAGUGCGGGUAUCAAACAGGAUUAGAUACCCUGGUAGUCCGCACGGUAAACGAUGGAUACUCGCUGUUGGCGAUAGACAGUCAGCGGCCAAGCGAAAGCGUUAAGUAUCCCACCUGGGGAGUACGCCGGCAACGGUGAAACUCAAAGGAAUUGACGGGGGCCCGCACAAGCAGUGGAGUAUGUGGUUUAAUUCGAAGCAACGCGAAGAACCUUACCAAGUCUUGACAUCCUCUUGACCGGCGUGUAACGGCGCCUUCCCUUCGGGGCAAGAGAGACAGGUGGUGCAUGGUUGUCGUCAGCUCGUGCCGUGAGGUGUCGGCUUAAGUGCCAUAACGAGCGCAACCCUUGCUGCCAGUUACUAACAGGUCAUGCUGAGGACUCUGGCAGGACUGCCAUCGUAAGAUGCGAGGAAGGUGGGGAUGACGUCAAAUCAGCACGGCCCUUACGUCCGGGGCUACACACGUGUUACAAUGGGGAGUACAGAGGGCAGCUACCGGGCGACCGGAUGCGAAUCCCGAAAGCUCCUCUCAGUUCGGACUGGAGUCUGCAACCCGACUCCACGAAGCUGGAUUCGCUAGUAAUCGCGCAUCAGCCACGGCGCGGUGAAUACGUUCCCGGGCCUUGUACACACCGCCCGUCAAGCCAUGAAAGCCGGGGGUACCUGAAGUACGUAACCGCGAGGAUCGUCCUAGGGUAAAACCGGUAAUUGGGGCU
rnacentral:rRNA from 1 species